AUGGCGACGGAGAAGGCGCGGCAGCUCCUGGCCCGCCUCGCCGCCACCCCGGACGCCGCCGUUCCUAACCUCCCCUUCCUCCACCGCGCACUCCUCCUCCCUCUCCUCUCCGCUGCCUCCGCUGCCUCCGCCCUCCUCCGCCUCCCCGUCAUCCUCUCCUCCUCUCCGCUACGCUCGCGACGGACCCUACCGGUCCCCGUCAUCAGCGUAGGGAACCUCACCUGGGGCGGCAACGGAAAGACACCCAUGGUCGACUUCCUGGCCCGCAGGUUUCACGCCAUGGGCGUCUCGCCACUCAUCCUAACAAGGGGUUAUGCGGGUGGCGAUGAAUCUAAGAUGCUUCGGAGGCGCCUUGCUGAUACUUCCACCAAGAUUGGUGUUGGCGCAAACCGGGCUGCUGUGGGUUCUUCCAUGUUGCAAAAGUAUGGCCAUGUCGAUCCUUGUGAUGCCUUCUGCCGGGAGAAGUUAGCGUGCAACCGGGUGGCAAGCGGUAAAAGUGCGAAAAUUGGAGUCGCUAUACUGGACGACGGAAUGCAGCACCGGAGCCUGCUUCGAGAUGUGGAGAUUGUGAUGGUCAAUGGGUUGACACCUUGGGGAAAUACCCAUUUCAUUCCACGAGGACCCAUGAGGGAACCGUUGAGCGCACUUACUCGAGCUGAUAUAGUGGUUAUUCAUCAUGCGGAUCUGGCUUGUGAAGCACAGCUGGAAACAAUUGCACGUACAGUCCAGGAUAGUGGCACAACAUGUUCAGUGUUCUUUAGUAAAUUGGCCCCAUCACAUAUUUUUGAGGUUCAUCAACCAUUACAGAGACUAUCUCUUAAUGUGUUGGAUGGCAUUAUUGUGCUAUGUGUUUCUGCGAUUGGCUGCCCAGAUGCUUUCAUACAUACAGUCAGAGAGAUUGGUCCACUUAAUGUUGAUAGGUUGGAUUUCAGUGAUCAUCAUUUCUUCAAUGAUUAUGACCUAGAAUUAAUUCAAGAAAGAGUGAGGCAGCUUGUCGAUCAACAUAACAAACAGACCGUAGUCUUAGUUACUGAGAAGGAUUACGACCGUGAUCCAGAUUUCCUUAGAAUGUUGGGCCUGAAGGUUUGGGUUCUGUCUUCUUCUUUGCAAAUUAUGCCCCUCAAGGAACAAGGAGAAGAUGAAUUGCUGAGGAAAUUAAAAGACAUUAUCACAGCAACUAGGCAUGUGGUCCAGCCAUGA
rnacentral:rRNA from 1 species